GAUGAACGCUGGCGGCGUGCCUAAUACAUGCGAGUCGAGCGAACAGACGAGGAGCUUGCUCCUCUGACGUUAGCGGCGGACGGGUGAGUAACACGUGGAUAACCUACCUAUAAGACUGGGAUAACUUCGGGAAACCGGAGCUAAUACCGGAUAAUAUAUUGAACCGCAUGGUUCAAUAGUGAAAGACGGUUUUGCUGUCACUUAUAGAUGGAUCCGCGCCGCAUUAGCUAGUUGGUAAGGUAACGGCUUACCAAGGCAACGAUGCGUAGCCGACCUGAGAGGGUGAUCGGCCACACUGGAACUGAGACACGGUCCAGACUCCUACGGGAGACAGCAGUAGGGAAUCUUCCGCAAUGGGCGAAAGCCUGACGGAGCAACGCCGCGUGAGUGAUGAAGGUCUUCGGAUCGUAAAACUCUGUUAUUAGGGAAGAACAAAUGUGUAAGUAACUAUGCACGUCUUGACGGUACCUAAUCAGAAAGCCACGGCUAACUACGUG
rnacentral:rRNA from 1 species